rnacentral:rRNA from 1 species
UGAGUACGAGCUGCUACGGCAGCGAAGUGGGUGAUGUCAAGCUUCCAAGAAAAGCCCUAUACCCGUUAAGGCAUGAUGGCCUGUACCCGAAACCGACACAGGUGGGGUGGUAGAGAAUACCGAGGGGCGCGAGAUAACUCUCUCUAAGGAACUCGGCAAAAUGGCCCCGUAACUUCGGGAGAAGGGGUGCCACCGCAAGGUGGUCGCAGUGAAGAGGCCCAGGCGACUGUUUACCAAAACACAGGUCUCCGCUAAGUCGCAAGACGAUGUAUGGGGGCUGACGCCUGCCCAGUGCCGGAAGGUUAAGGAAGCUGGUCAGCGAAAGCGAAGCUAGCGACUGAAGCCCCGGUGAACGGCGGCCGUAACGAUAACGGUCCUAAGGUAGCGAAAUUCCUUGUCGGGUAAGUUCCGACCCGCACGAAAGGCGUAACGAUCUGGGCGCUGUCUCGGAGAGAGGCUCGGCGAAAUAGAAUUGUCUGUGAAGAUGCGGACUACGUGCACCCGGACAGAAAGACCCUAUGAAGCUUUGCUGUAGCUUGGUAUUGUGCUCGGGCUCGGAAUGCGCAGGAUAGGUGGGAGGCUAUGAACCAUUGCUUGUGGGUGAUGGUGAGCCACUGGUGAGAUAACACUCUUUCCGAGCUAGAGUUCUAACAGCCACCCGUUAUCCGGGGGCUGGACAGUAUCAGGUGGGCAGUUUGACUGGGGCGGUCGCCUCCUAAAAGGUAACGGAGGCGCGCAAAGGUUUGCUCAGGCUGGUUGGAAAUCAGCCGACGAGUGUAAAAGCAGAAGCAAGCUUGACUGUGAGACCUACAAGUCGAACAGGGAGGAAACUCGGCUUUAGUGACCCGACGGUUCUGUGUGGAAGGGCCGUCGCUCAACGGAUAAAAGUUACUCUACGGAUAACAGGCUGAUCUCCCCCAAGAGUUCACAUCGACGGGGAGGUUUGGCACCUCGAUGUCGGCUCAUCGCAACCUGGGGCUGAAGUCGGUCCCAAGGGUUGGGCUGUUCGCCCAUUAAAGCGGUACGCGAGCUGGGUUCAGAACGUCGUGAGACAGUUCGGUCCAUAUCCGGUGCAUGCGCAGGAAUAUUGAGAGGAUUUCUCCCUAGUACGAGAGGACCGGGAGGAACGCACCUCUGGUGUACCAGUUAUCGUGCCAACGGUAAACGCUGGGUAGCCAUGUGCGGAGAGGAUAACCGCUGAAAGCAUCUAAGUGGGAAGCCCACCUCAAGAUGAGUAUUCCCAUGGGGUAACCCAGUAAGGUCACGGGAAGAACACCCGUUGAUAGGCUCUACGUGGAAGCGCAGUAAUGUGUGAAGCGGAGGAGUACUAAUAGACCGAGGGCUUGACCA